rnacentral:tRNA from 1 species
GGGGCUGUAAAUCAGUUGGUUAGAGUGUGGUGCUGAUAACGCCAAGGUUGCAGGUUCAAUUCCUGUAUGGGACAGCUGCA